UACAGAGGGUGCUAGCGUUGUUCGGAAUUAUUGGGCGUAAAGGGCGCGUAGGCGGCCCUGUGUGUCGGGUGUGAAAGCCCACCUCUUAAAGGUGGAAUUGCAUUCGAAACUACAGGGCUGGAGUGUCGGAGAGGAUGGCGGAAUUCCUGGUGUAGAGGUGAAAUUCGUAGAUAUCAGGAGGAACACCGGUGGCGAAGGCGGCCAUCUGGACGACAACUGACGCUGAGG
rnacentral:rRNA from 1 species